AUUGAACGCUGGCGGCAGGCCUAACACAUGCAAGUCGAGCGGAUGAAGGGAGCUUGCUCCUGGAUUCAGCGGCGGACGGGUGAGUAAUGCCUAGGAAUCUGCCUGGUAGUGGGGGAUAACGUCCGGAAACGGGCGCUAAUACCGCAUACGUCCUGAGGGAGAAAGUGGGGGAUCUUCGGACCUUACGCUAUCAGAUGAGCCUAGGUCGGAUUAGCUAGUUGGUGGGGUAAAGGCCUACCAAGGCGACGAUCCGUAACUGGUCUGAGAGGAUGAUCAGUCACACUGGAACUGAGACACGGUCCAGACUCCUACGGGAGGCAGCAGUGGGGAAUAUUGGACAAUGGGCGAAAGCCUGAUCCAGCCAUGCCGCGUGUGUGAAGAAGGUCUUCGGAUUGUAAAGCACUUUAAGUUGGGAGGAAGAGCAGUAAGUUAAUACCUUGCUGUUUUGACGUUACCAACAGAAUAAGCACCGGCUAACUUCGUG
rnacentral:rRNA from 1 species